UGCAGGGACUCGAGGAUUGGUGUCAGAGAGCCUUGCUGAUGACGUAAGUGCGUGGACGGACUUCCUGGAAGGGGCCCAGAAUUUGAGAAGAUUCAGUUCCACCGGAAAACUCGUCAAAAGGCCUCCACUGUGGAAAUGGCUCAAUCAGGUGGACGAGAGAACCUACAGAUGUCCGUCAGACCCUUUGUCCCGCCAUCCCAGUGACGGUUGCUUAACCCUCGGACCAAAUCGGCCUGGGGACAAGGAAGGACGCCCUAGCGCCUGCUUACAUGACUGAGCGGCCACCUGUAAACCCCAGUAGUGGUUGUGGGGGCGCGGGGGGCGACGGCCAGCCACCCGAAAGGCAGGUGACCUCGCUGAUGCUUUCCCUGCAGGAGACGCGCGAGGCCACGUCGGAACGGACCCUAACUCCGGACCUGGGCUCGUGGACCCCACCGUCCCCGCAGCCCGGGCGACGCCGCUCGUGGUCACACCACGCGCGUCACAGCGAGGGCCAGGCAGCGACCCCAGGAAGGGGCGUCCGAGCCCAUGUCGGGACCGUCCUGCGAGCGGGGGUACCGGGGCACAGCCAGUGAGGUCGCCCAGUCGCCGAGGAGGAGCUCGCGCCGCUGUCGGCGCCAAGCCACGUCCCCCUGGCGGGCAGGAGCCCUUUCAUUCACCCCGGGCCCCCGUCACGGCCCGCGUCUGCCACCGCGCACCCGUGGACUCGCCGGCCCAGCCCGUCUCACGACCCAACCCCCACACAGGCGCCCCGCCCCGCCCGGCCGCCGCCCGUCACGUGGGCGGCCGGUCACGUGCUCCCGCGCACGCCCGUGUCGCGGCGUCCUCGCGCUGCCGCCCCACCCCUCGCAGGCGCGCGUAGUUGGCGCGUGCGCACUCGACGGUGUGGCGUUGCGGAGCGCGGCGAGGUUGCGCGCUCCCGGGGACCAGGGUCUGGCAGGGCGGCGGGGCGGGCGGCGCGGGGCGGCUGGGCCCUCGCGGCCGUGGGAAGGAACGUAGCGACUUCGGGGCGGCCACCUUCUGCCGGGGGCCGUGAUGACUCAACACUCCUGCCUUCGCCACCAGAGCGGCGCGGACUCUGCUCGUCUUUACUCCCCCCACCCCCGAAGCGGGUCCGCGGCGCCAGGCCCCUUUGCUGUGCUAUUACCAGUUUGAGUGUUAUUUCUUCUGCAACUUGAAGAUGUUGGACAGGAGGCCUCAGACCGCUAAGAUGUGGUCUGCGCUGGCUCGCCGCCAGGACGACUCCUCCCGCUGUGUGCUUACGAGCGGAGCCGCACAGCACAAGCAUUCGGAGACACUGAAAAGGGAAAACAUCUGCUGGGAUGAUGGGGCUACUUGUGCAGAACAUGUUCCUACAUGAGCGUGCUCCCAUCCGACCUACAUUCAUGGAAUAGGACCUUUGCUCAGUUGGGACAUCUGAUGUUGGGGGGGGGGUGCUGCAGUCUGCUGGCUCAGUAUUUCAAACCUUGCUCCCCACCCCACAUGCUCCUGGUGUCUGGGGCUGGAGGACAGGACCCCUUGGGGCAGCCUCUGGCGGGGUGAGAACCUAGGCAGCCGGCCGUAGCAGAGCUAGGUGGAGCGCACUGCAGACCCCAAGAGGCGCCUCCCCCAGCUUCCUCUCCAGGCCCCCUGCGCAGGGCUGUGUUCACCUUCUACCCUGCCUCGGGGUGGCACUGGAGUGGACAUCCUAGCUGAGCAAAGGACCUGUCCCCUAAUGCUGCCAGCUCACCUCAGCCAGGGGUCCAACCCCAGCCAUGUGACCCCAUGCAGCAGGCUUCACCUCCCACCAUCCUGAGUGAGAGUCUCGAUGGUCACCCAUGGUGGCUGGGGGUUUAAUGAGUUGGUGUGUGCCAAGUGCCCAGAGCAACACCUGGCACUGUCGGGUUGAAAAGGACGGCGCCGUGGCCUAGUGCUUGCAGCAGUGGUAACAAUCAGAGCCAGAGACUUGACCUGGUCGUCCCAGCUACUCCCUCCCUGUAGGAGGCAGGGACCUGGACCCGUUCAUGCUUCCAACCUACCCAUCUCCACUAAGGCCCCCUCAGCACACACACACCUCUCUGGUCCUGAAAACACCACCAGUGACCAAGAAACCCUUGCUCUGAUUGUGGCCAGUCAGCCCAGGACAAGAUGCCCAGCAUCCUUAGCCUGGGGGAAAUGCAGCAUACCCACUAACAAGGCUGCCCUUGCCACGUGUUGGGAAGGUGGGGCAACAGGAACCCUCACACACAGUUGAUGGGAACAUAGAAUGGUGUGGCCACUUUGGAAUUCAGUUUGGUAGUUCCCUCAUGUUUCUCCAAGGAGUUCCGGUUCUUUUGUUGGAGGAUGGUGUUUACUGCUAUUUCAUGGUGCAGAUGGUGUCCUGUGUCUGUGCCAUCUCGGGGUGCAGAGACUGACCCACAGGGUGUCCCCAGGUCUAUGCCAUCUCGGGGUGCAGAGACUGACCCACGGUAUCCCCAUGUCUGUGCCAUCUCUGGGUGCAGAGACUGACCUGUGGGGCAUCCCUCUCUGUGCCAUCUCAGGGUGCAGAGACUGACCCACAGGGUGUCCCCAGGUCUAUGCCAUCUCGGGGUGCAGAGACUGACCCACAUGGUGUCCCCAGGUCUAUGCCAUCUUGGGGUGCAGAGACUGACCCACGGUAUCCCCAUGUCUGUGCCAUCUCGGGGUGCAGAGACUGACCUGUGAGGCAUCCCUCUCUGUGCCAUCUCAGGGUGCAGAGACUGACCCACAGGGUGUCCCCAGGUCUAUGUCAUCUCGGGGUGCAGAGACUGACCCACAGGGUGUCCCCAGGUCUAUGCCAUCUCGGGGUGCAGAGACUGACCUGUGGGGCAUCCCUCUCUGUGCCAUCUCGGGGUGCAGAGACUGACCUGUGGGGCAUCCCUCUCUGUGCCAUCUCGGGGUGCAGAGACUGACCUGUGGGGCAUCCCUCCCUGAGCCAUAUCGGGGUGCAGAGACUGACCCACAGGGUGUCCUCAGGUCUAUGCCAUCUCGGGGUGCAGAGACUGACCUGUGGGGCAUCCCUCUCUGUGUCAUCUCAGGAUGCAGAGACUGACCUGUGGGGCAUCCCUCUCUGUGCCAUCUCGGGGUGCAGAGACUGACCUGUGGGGCAUCCCUCCCUGUGCCGUAUCGGGGUGCAGAGACUGACCUGUGGGGCAUCCCUCCCUGUGCCAUAUCGGGGUGCAGAGACUGGCCCAUGGGUUGUCCCUGGGUCUGUGCUGUAUAGGGCUGCAGGGCCAGGAAGUACAGGAGUGUGCACUAACCCAUGGAUGCAGGCAUGUCUAUGAUUGUCUGUGUGUCUCCGUGAAGGUGAGAAUGAGCUCCACUCGGGCCCAGACCCAUGGAGUUUCUUCUAGUCUCUCCUUGCCCCUCUGGAAUUCACUCUCCAGUAUCAGAAAUCCUCCUUGCCCACUUUUUGAAAUUAGGGUGUUUCUCUUCUUGUUACCCAUUCCUUAGAGGCAGGAUCUCUGUUUUCUUUAUUUUUGUUUCCCAAAUGAAGUGGUGUCUGUCUCCUACAGGUGUAGCUCUACACAGGUAUUGUUGAAUAGAAAGGGACCAGGCGUGUGCCCAGGACAGCUUUGAUGUGGGCCAUCAGAAUGCUCUCCAGAGCAUCACCUCUCUUUCGUGCACCCGUCCCAAUGGCUUGCUUUCUCUUCCAUGUCCCACCCCUGGCCCACGGACCUCCAGGAUGAGGAGGGGUUUCAUCCUGACCCUCAUAAACUCAGGAAGGUUUCUGCCCAGGCCAACAAAUGGCAACCAAUUGGAAUCAGUAUUCACAAUGUCACUUUCCCAAACUAACUGCAUCAGGCAAGUGCUGAGAGCAAUCAGGAGCUCCACUGAGGCUGAGCCCCAUCAGGAGAACGUAUGUGCACAGUGAUUGUCCCACUGUGAGCUAGGAAUGAGGCAGUUCCGGUGAAGGAACAAUUCUCACUGCAUGGCAGAUGUCAGGGUGGCUAAUGGAAGCAGGGGUCUUGCAUGUGGGGGGCUGGGCGUGUGUGUGUGUGGUAGGAGGAGGGUCUCGGGGAAGGGGCUGGCUCUGUGUGAGAAGCUACUCCUCCAGGUAAGGCAUGCUGCUGGCUUGCAUCAGGCCUCCUGCCUUCCUUGGCCUGACAGGCAGCCUGGGUCCCCUUUGCUCUCGGUGGGCCCUUGGCAUCUGGCACAGGAAUGAGGCUGGGGACAGGCAACGCUUGCCGAGUGGAUGUGCCAGUGAACACGCACGUGGGCGGUAAAGUAGUGCAGGAUUCAGAGCCUGGCGGCGUCUCCUCUCCAGAGACGGGAGGACCAGCCGUGCCCAGGAUGCUGGGAGGCCACAGGGAGCUCCAGGGAUGGCUGAGCUGGGGCAACGAGGUCCCUCUGUUCAGAAGCCCCCGUCAGCUGCGCUGUUUAAUUCAUGUCUGUCCUACAGUCUGCGUUUUGUAUGUGUUCCAUGGGCACCUUUGGGGGACACCAGCGUCAGCACAGAGAUUCGGAAAGGUGGCCUGGAGGAGGAGACGCAGCUGGACCUUGAUGCUAAGGGCAACUGGUGUAGGGGUGGCCAGCCAUGGGACCCCAGCCACUACGAGGACCCCGUGCCUUCAUACCGGCCCCCAAGCAGGCCCCCUAGUGCUCUUCCCAAACUCAGAUAGACAUGGUUGAGAACACAGGAAUGCAGGGCAACUUGUGUAGGGCCUGCCCGCCCUCUGGUCACCUUCCGACGACUGCUUUUCUGGGAGCAUUGCCUUAACCAAGCAGGUAAAUACACGUAGCUCCUCCGUGAUGGCUUCCAUGACGUGUGUGCAGGGGGCACAUCCGGGCACACCCAUCGACCCCCUUCCUGCCCCUGGAGUGCACAGAUGGGAACGUGCCUCUCCCUGUCUCCGAAGCCCCGAGGGAUGUCUGUGGAGAAGACAUUUUGAUGAAGGAGGCCUUAGAAACACUUCCAGGUCCAGUUCAUAUCCGUACAUUUAUCAAUUUUCUUCUAAAAAUUGGUAUUAUAAGAUGUAUCUCUAAAGCUCUCAUUUGUUUAGGAUGAAAUUCAGUCAGGAAUGUAUGUAUUAUUCAUCUAGAAAGCGCACUCUUUCCUAAAAUCAGAUGGAAUUUAAAACAUUUUACCAAUUUUUACCUUUUAAGUGAUCCAGUUAUGUUUUCCAACCUUAAUUAAAAGUAAUUUUAAAUUGAAAUUACAAAGCGAGACAUACUUACUAAUUUUUUAAUGGGAAAGGACAGAAUCCUAGGAAAUGGGAGUGGCUCCUGUUGGCGGUUGGUGAAUGUUGUUGUGGACCUUUCUUGGUUACCAGGCAGUAAGUCAGCCCCCUCCACGGCCCGGGCACCACACUUGGCUCUCACCUCUCCUGUCGCUGCACCUCGGCCGAUUCACUCUCUGCUUCCUUCCAGUAGUCAACUGGCCACCACUGAUGGCUGGAGGCGAGGCUCAAUCCCACGACCUGAGCUGAAAUCAAGCGUCAGACGCUCAACUGACUGAGCCACCCUGGUGUCCCAGGUUGUUUCACUUUCUGAUUAUUCUGAAUAAAGCAACUGUGAAGAUUCUUGUACAGGCCAUUUUGCAGGCAGAGGCUUUGCUUUCUCUUGGCCAAGGACGAGUUGAAAGCAGCUCCUGGCAGCCAAGUGGAUGAAUGGAGUUACACGAUUUCCUGAGACAGACACGUAUGGGCAUGGCAUUGAUCACUCAGAAGUAUAAAUGGAAGUCUCCCCAGCUGGGGAGACAGGACCUAACAUUACAGAAAUGAAGUAACAAUGGAAGGAAGGCAGCAAGAACAUCACCAACCCAGAGUUCCUAAAUGUUGCAGAUUUGAUUUAUUUAUUCAUGAGAGACAGAGAGAAACAGAGGGAGAAGCAGGCUCCCAAGGAGCAGGAAGCCCGAUGCGGGACUCGAUCCCAGGACUCCGGGAUCACGACCUGAGCCGACGGCAGACGCCUAACCAUCUGAGCCACCCAGGCGCCCCAGAUUUCAUCUCUUUAAGUCACCUCUACACCCAGUGUGGGAUCUGAACCCAUAACCCCAAGAUCCAGAGUCGCAAGCUCCACCGACUGAGCCAGCCAGGCACGCUGGUAGGGACACCUGGGUGGUGCAGCCGGUUGAGCACCCAACUCUUGGUUUCGGCUCAUGUCAUCAUCUGAUUGUGAACUUAGGGUCAUGAGAUCAAGCCCCACAUCAGGCUCCACACUCAGCAGGGAGUCCACUUGGGAUUCUCUCUCUCCCUCUGCCCUUCUGCACCCCCCCCCACUCUCCUGCACACUCCCUCUAAAAUAAACAAAUAAAUCUUUAAAAAAAUAUAUUUUG